AACGAACGCUGGCGGCAUGCCUAACACAUGCAAGUCGGACGAGACCUUCGGGUCUUGUGUCGCACGGGUGCGUAACGCGUGGGAACCUGCCCUUAGGUUCGGAAUAACUCCCCGCAAGGGGUGCUAAUACCGGAUAAUGUCUUCGGACCAAAGAUUUAUCGCCUUUGGAUGGGCCCGCGUUGGUUUCGCUAGUUGGUAGGGUAAAAGCCUACCAAGGCGACGAUCCAUAGCUGGUCUGAGAGGAGGAUCAGCCACACUGGGACUGAGACACGGCCCAGACUCCUACGGGAGGCAGCAGUGGGGAAUAUUGGACAGUGGGCGAAAGCCUGAUCCAGCAAGGCCGCGUGAGUGAUGUAGGCCUUAGGGUUGUAAAGCUCUUGUACCCGGGAUGAUAAUGACAGUACCGGGAGAAUAAGCUCCGGCUAACUCCGUG
rnacentral:rRNA from 1 species